AUAUAAAUUAUUCGAAACUAUGAGCAUUCGUCGACGGUUUAGCUCCUUCCGUGAGGCCAAAGAGAUAACAUCCUCGCCUGCUUCACUAAAUGUACCUCGACGUAGUUUAAAAAAGAAUCAUCAUAUUCGUCCUGGAGGUGCGCAGAGUGGCUCUCAUUCUCGUUGGUGUAAUACAGAAGGAUUUGCUGGAAAGAUUUGGUACUUGCACUAUGAUAAUGGAGAAGAAGUCAAGCUUCUUUAUACAGAAAGAGACACGGUGCGAUUUAAGGACUUUUCAACUGAGGUACGAUGUGUUAUGGAUAUGGACUGCCUCCUUGACGAAGCCAUCAUACUUCUUGACACAUGCGAAACUUCCCUUCGUGGUAUCAUUAAUAGUCUCCUCUACAAACUUCUGGAAACUCUCAAAGUUCCAUUCCUUUUUGAUGAGGCUCUCUCCAACAUUUUCCUUCCAGAAUCUGGAAGUGUAUUAUCCAAGGUUAUACAAGGAAUGAUUGGAUUCCACGGGGAGAUGCUGGAGAGCGAUCAAUCCUGGAUAAUUACAGUGGCUACAGUGAAUGCCCUACCUCGAAGAGCUUUGGGAAUCGUUCGAUUAAAGUAUCCAGAGAACCUUGGUCCUGGACAUGAAGAAAUUAAGUUUCUCUUACUUAUUCUUUGCAAAACAAAGGAUAAGGAAACAAAGUCAGCCAAGGAGACAGGAAGAACCUUUGCAACCCUCUUGGCGGAUAUUAACUUUCGAUCCCAAUUGCUCAAAGCACCGAAUGAAAAGAUAUUCAAAACACUCAUUGCAAAUCAGGCUCGGGAUCUUGGAGCCCGACAGUCCAAGACAAAUAACUUUGAGCCUUUUCCAGCAACAGAUAUUUCCUGUGAGCGUCGUCGCAAAUGGUUCUAUUUUGGAAGUGGCCUUGUACAGGAUUUGACUACGCGUAUUCCUUUUUAUUUAUCAGAUUUUAAGGAUGGCUUUGUUGGAGAGAAAACUUUGUCCAAAACCGUGUCCAGUAUUAUUUUUCUAUUUUUUGCAUGCAUCCUUCCGGCCAUUGCAUUUGGGGUACUGAAUGACGCAAAUACGCACGGGCUUAUUGGAGUCACUGGAGUGGUUGUGAGCCAAGCCUUAGGAGGGGUUAUCUACGCUCUUAUUUCGGGUCAACCUCUUCUUGUCGUAAUGACAACAGCUCCAGUUGCUCUUUAUACAAAAAUUAUAUAUUUGGUGGCCGAAGAGAGUGGCUUUGACUUUCGAACACUCUACUGCUUUGUAGGUCUCUUUAACUCCCUUUAUCUCAUUCUUUACUCCUUUGUCAAUGCCUCAAAACUCAUGCGUUACUCCACUCGAUCUACAGAAGAGAUUUUCUCUCUCUUUAUCUGUGUGGCUUUUACAAAGGACGCUCUUGGAGAUGCAGUCAAAAAUUUUCAAGAAUAUUACUUUUCUCCAGCAUGCAAGGUGGAUGAUCAUUCCCCGAUUAGCAAUGGAAACAUGACUUCAAUUUUAUUGAAUUCUAGUGUACCGUCACAAUUAAGUGGCGACGGCGUUGGUCCAUCCAUCUGUCAAAGAGAGGUGUCCAUACUCUUUCUUCUCUUAAUGUUUGGGACACUUUGGCUAGCAGUUACACUCUACAAUUUCAAUAAAACGCCCUAUUUACAAGCUGGAAAGAGGGAAGUCCUGACAGACUAUGCCUUACCCGUGGCAGUGAUUUGUUUCAGCUUUGUUGGCUCACAUUUCUUUCGUGAUGUAAAAAUGGCGCCAUUUAAGUUGAUAAACCUCUCUGAGGCUUUUGUUACUCCAAAUUGGAGCAACAUUACUCUCAACUUAAUUCUAACUGCCUCCAGCCUCGGAUUUCCUCUCUCCCUUCUAUUUUUUAUGGAUCAGAAUAUUACAGCUUCUAUUGUUAAUAAUCCGGAUAAUAAAUUGGUUAAGGGGACAUCCUAUCAUUGGGAUCUAUUCGUCAUUGGUGUGCUAAACAUUCCUUUCUCAAUUUUUUGUCUACCAUGGAUGCAUGCUGUUUUACCUCACUCACCUCUUCACGUCCGAUCCCUUGCAGAUGUUCAGGAACACGUUGAAGAGGGCCACGUCUAUGAUAUAAUAGUUAAAGUUCGCGAAACACGUAUUACAAGUCUGGUGGCAAAUUUACUUAUUGGAUUGUCCAUUUUCUUCCUUGGGGACUAUCUCCGGCUCAUUCCUGUCCCUGUGCUUGAUGGACUCUUCUUAUAUUUGGCUGUAACCGCCUUGAAUGGAAAUCAACUCUUUGAAAGAUUCACUCUUCUCUUUAUGGAGCAGACGGCCUAUCCACCCAAUCAUUACAUACGGAGAGUUCCUCAGCGAAAGAUCCAUCAAUUCACCGCAAUACAAGUAUGUCAACUCGGGAUCCUUUCCAUUUUCGGCUUUACAUCCUGGCCUUAUAUCAAAAUUAUAUUUCCCAUAUUCCUUCUUUGUCUUUUGCCAAUUCGACAAUUAAUAACAACACGUUUUAUCGAUCGCAAAUAUCUUCAAGUACUGGAUGGAGAGCAUCAAUGACCUUCGCCAUUCUAAUCUCAAUUAUGAGAUUGACCAAUUUUUUUUUUUUUCGAUUUAAUAAGGUGGAUUUUCACUUAGAGUGCUAUGAUUCUUGAAGAAGAAUGAAAAUUAAAAUCAAACAAAGUCAAUGGAGGAAAUAUAUAAGAAAUGAAAAAAUUACAGACUUAGAGUUAUAUUUAACAACAUAAUAUUAAUUUCAAAAUUGUGAAUAGUGGGGGAAAAGAAGACAAAUGUUAAAUAACAGAAAAACGAGUUCCCAGAUCUGACAGGAAAUAUGAUACCCAUUUAUAUUUUACAGAUUAUUUUACGUCUCUUCACACGCCCAAAUUUUGAUGACUUUUCAAAUGAUGAGGAAAAUAUUUAUCAAAAAGUAGAACGAGGACCGAUUUUAGAUCGAGCGGCAUUUAGGGAAAAGCUUUUUUCAUUAUGUCGUUAAUUAUAAUUGGACUUGUAAUAAAAUAAUUUUUCUUUUUUAGUUAAUAAAUUAAGAGUCUUUCUUUA
rnacentral:misc_RNA from 1 species